rnacentral:rRNA from 1 species
GGGUGUAACGUACCCUCUAGCCCUCUACGCGUACGGGUGUUGGGAGACAUAGCCCGGGAGAUGGAUUCUGAGACACGAAUCCAGACCCUACGGGGUGCAGCAGGCGCGAAAACUUGGCAAUGCGAGAAAUCGUGACCAGGGAACUCCAAGUGCAUCGGGUAAGACCGGUGCUUUUCUUGACUCUAAAUAGGUCUUGGAAUAAGGGGUGGGUAAGGACGGUGCCAGCCGCCGCGGUAAUACCGGCGCCUCAAGUGGUAGUCGCUUUUAUUGGGCCUAAAACGUCCGUAGCCGGUCUGAUACAUUCGUGGGUAAAUCAACCAGCUCAACUGGUUGAAUUCUGCGAGGACGGUCAGACUUGGGACCGGGAGAGGUGUGGGGUACGCUCAGGGUAGGGGUAAAAUCCUGUCAUCCUGAGCGGACCACCUGUUGCGAAGGCGCCACACUAGAACGGAUCCGACGGUCAGGGACGAAGCCUAGGGGCACGAACCGGAUUAGAUACCCGGGUAGUCCUAGGUGUAAACGCUGUGGACUUGAUGUUGGGGGUGCUCCGAGCACUCUCAGUGUCGAAGCGAAGGUGAUAAGUCCACUGCCUGGGAAGUACGGUCGCAAGGCUGAAACUUAAAGGAAUUGGCGGGGGAGCACCGCAACCUGAGGAUUGUGCGGUUUAAUUGGAUUCAACGCCGGA